UAAGGAAUAUUGCUCAGUGGGAGAAAUCCUGAAGCAGCAACGCCGCGUGGAGGAUGAAGGGUCUAUGACUUGUAAACUCCUGUAAAGAAGGAAAAAAUUCCCAUUAGAUGGGAGAUGAUGGUACUUCUGGAGUAAGCCCCGGCUAACUACGUGCCAGCAGCCGCGGUAAUACGUAGGGGGCAAGCGUUGUCCGGAUUUACUGGGUGUAAAGGGUGCUCAGGCGGAUUUGUAAGUCAGAGGUGAAAUCUUACAGCUUAACUGUGAAACUGCCUUUGAUACUGCAAGCCUAGAGUAUGGAAGAGAGUGAUGGAAUAUCUGGUGUAGCAGUGAAAUGCGUAGAUAUCAGAUAGAACACCAAUGGCGAAGGCAGUCACUUGGUCCAUUACUGACGCUAAAGCACGAAAGCGUGGGUAGCAAACA
rnacentral:rRNA from 1 species